rnacentral:lncRNA from 1 species
AAGGCUCUCAGUAAAAAGUAUUAACAAGAUAUCAAUUGAAUCUGCAAAACCAAGAAGUGCUUGAAGGAUAUGAAAGAGGAAACUUGAAGGGAAACCCCGAUGGCACAUCUCUCUUCUUGGCUAGGGCUUAGGCAGAUGUAGACAAGAGAAGAUGAAAUCAUUAAAGUGGACCCGACUCCAGCGUGACUGUUCUCC